CCCUGAUCGAGAGCCUAAGGACAGUGAGUACAUUUGGAUGACUCACUGAGGUGGGACAGGGUGGAGAGGCUAAUCCCUGUCUGCUCCUAAACAUUACAAAAGGGAAGAUCCAAAACAAGCAAAUCAUCACCAACCUCCAAGGAGUCAAGGAGACUUGCUGGUGUAUUGCUGGUGUCUCUCCUCCUUCAUGUCCUCGCAAGGGAUCCUGGACUGGGCACUUGGAACACACAUCUUGAUGCCUGUUGGUGGCCUGGCUGCUUGGACACGAUCCAACCAGCCUCUGAUGGGUUCUACACAGCUCUCAGGACCUGGCAGCAGAGCCUCCCCAUGAGCUCAGGAGAUGAUGCCAGUCACACCUGUAAUUCAGAAGAAGAUAUUGCCCACAAAUUUACUAGAACCACUGAAGAGAACCAGUAGCAGAGGAGAGAUGGAAAAAAAAUCAGCCCCCAGAAGAGACCAGACUGCUCCCAGCAGGAAAGCUGAUCUUCAGGGGGUGCAGCAUGUGAAGCACCAGCCACAUGCAGUGUCAUGCAUGAUACACAUGCCAAGUCUCCAGGAGUUUUCCAGAAGCAUUUCCAGUCUCCAAGAGAUUUUUCACGAUGGAAGACAACACAGGGAGCAUCACUGCAGCUGCAACACAGCACGCUCCUGCCUGUUUCCAGGCUGAAGUCACUACACCUCCCAUCAUCUGUGCAGCACAAAAACAGGGCCAGAAGCACAAAAACAGGGCCAGAGUCCUACGUGGGGAUGGGACGAGGAAGCAGCCUACCCAUCCACAAACACGGCCAUCUCUGCCUGAAGGAUGUGGCCCCAGGACAGGAUGCAACCAGGCAAGUAAAAAGCCAACAAUUCUUGAAUAUUUUGCAGACAGACCUAAAGACAUUUUAAGUUCUAAUGGAAAAUAGUAUUUGAUAGUUUGCAAGUCAGUAAAAACUGAUUUUAUCUAUGUGACUUUUUCUUCCAGACAGGCAAUGAUACCACAUUAUUGAUGGUAUUCUUUGUACUACAUUGUUGA